CUACGUAGGGCGCAAGCGUUGCCCGGAAUCACUGGGUGUAAAGGGUGCGUAGGCGGGGCUGUAAGUCAGAGGUGAAAGCCCUCGGCUCAACCGGGGAAUUGCCUCUGAUACUGCAGCUCUUGAGUCCCGGAGAGGCCGCUGGAAUUCCUGGUGUAGCGGUGAAAUGCGUAGAUAUCAGGAGGAACACCGGAGGCGAAGGCGGGCGGCUGGACGGGGACUGACGCUGAGGCACGAAAGCGUGGGGAACAAACAGGAUUAGAAACCCCAGUAGUCC
rnacentral:rRNA from 1 species